GCCGGGGCGUCCCCCGCGGGAGCCCGCAGCCACCCGGGACGCGCAUCCAGACGUGGCGCUUCGGACCGGGCACGCUGCGCCCGGGGGCUCGGCGGACCCCGCGUAGCCGCCGCUUCGGAGCUUGUGCGGCGCGGGCUGGCCAGCGGGGCGGCCAGGGCCCGGCCCGCCUCCCCAGCGCCCGCCCGGCUUCUCCCCCUGGCGGUGGGAGCCUCGGCGGCCGCUGGCGACACUAGGCGCACUGAAGCCCGAGCCGAGCCGAGCCCGAGCCGCCGCCGCCGCCGCCGCUGCUGCGCACCGCUCCCGGGCUCCCUCCCAGCGCGCCGGCCGGGGUGUGGGGGGCGGCGGGCCGGAGGGGCGAGGGCGGGCCAGGGGGCGCACACGGGGGUUGGCGCGGAAGACAGGACCCUCAGCCUCGAGGGAGCCCCUAGGUGACCAGGCAAAAUGGCAGUUCCUUCCAGCUGGUCCUCAGAUGGGCACAUCUAUUAGCCUCUGCUCUUGUAAGAAGUUAGCUGCAGAACCCACAUGUGAAUCCUUGUAGGACUCUGGAGAAGAUCAAAUGGGAGCUUAGAUGUGGAAGCUCUUUGGAAACCAAGAAACACUCUGAAAAUGAAAAGGGUGGAAGAGUAAACUGUUCCUGUUUCUCCAUCUUGACAGGAAGCAGAAGUUCUCCUUAGCUGAUUUUUCUUCUUGCCUUAUACUGGGUUCUUUAACACCAGAACAAAAAUAAAUAAAUAAAAGAAUCUUCCAGAAAUUCAUGAAGAGACUUCAGGUCAGGAAAGCCUGAACUUUCUCAUCCAACACCCGUUCAAGUCGGAGGAUGCUGAUUAAUUCAUGAUGGAAAGGUAUCAAUUUCACAGCCCAGACCUCUACAUUCUUGAAAUGCUCUUCUCAUGGGAGACAUUAAAUAAGCUUUGAAUUAACUUAAGCCCUUAAGUAAAAGUGCCAUCAAAUGAUUUCUCAGAAAUUAUAAAGAAACAAAAGGACCAUAAACAAGAUAAGGUGGCAUGAGGAAACAUUACAAGUACCUUUCAGAGCUGACUGGCAAAGAAACUCCUGAGGUGACGGUUCUACCCCAAUAUUACUUCUUCGAAGAGCAACCUAACUGACCUUGUAUUGAAGACAGCGUAACCCCCAAGAGGAAAGGAGCUUGGAGCCCUGAAUCAGAGUAGAAGACAGGCUGAAUGAAUACCAGCCUUGGACUGUUGUGUGAAUGAAAAACAAGUUUUGAGAUUUGUGUGGUUUAUUUAUUAUAGUUACUGUUAUUAUUAAAGUUUUUCACUGCUUUACUCUCAG
rnacentral:lncRNA from 1 species